rnacentral:misc_RNA from 1 species
AAGGAUCAUUACAAAACUAGUCGUUCGCGGGAGGGGAAACCUGACCGCGAUGUAAGCUAUCACUAGUAACCCUUGAAUAAACACCUUUGUUGCUUUGGCGGGCCGCCUUCCAGGCCAGCGGCUCCGGCUGCUGCGCGCCCGCCAGAGGACCACAACUCUUGAUUUUAGUGAUGUCUGAGUACUAUAUAAUAGUUAAAACUUUCAACAACGGAUCUCUUGGUUCUG